CCCCUCGGCCNUGCAGAGCUCGUGACGGCGGGUUCCUGCUUCUCCCGAAAACCCAGCCUGGCUGGCAUCUUCCCCGCUGGCUCAGCCGGCUCCCGUGCACAAAAGCAGCAGUUUCUGCCCCUUCCUGUGGGACCGAGGGCUUCUCCCGCGCUGCUCCUGCCUGUUUAGGGUGGCUCCAGGCUCCUGUGUUGCACAGCUCAGGUGCCACCCUCGGUUGAGCUGGGUCCCACCAGCAUGACUGCAUCCUCUGGGCACCGUGGGUACAUCCACCCCCCAGGCUGGGGGGCUCCAGCAUUUCCCCUUUGCACCCCAGCGAGGUGCCCCAUCGCUCCCGUCCUCCAGGCAAACUCCAGCCCGUCCCAGCCAGCCAGCCUUUGCACAGCUGCAUCGUGGGUUUGAAAAAGGAAGAUGUGCUUUUUCCAGUGACUCAUUCUCAGCCUUUCCUUUUUUUUUUUUUUUUUUUUUUAACUUUUAAAGGCACAACCUCAGCCUUGCACCCAGCAGAAGCCAAGCGCCUGCUCCCCGCCCCACCCAAGCACAGGGCCCGAGAACAACCUCCUUCCUCCUCCCAAAAGCCGACAGCCCUCUUAAGGCUGUUUUCAUCAGCUUUCGCUUCGCCCAUCAGGCCGGCCUCAGCCGCAUCCCCACUUCUGCACUGCUGGGAACCCCCCGCAGCCAGAGCCCCAGCAAAAACCACACAAGGAGCUGAGAAGGCUCCAGAACUGGUUUCAUCAACUUUUCAAGCUUGGGAGAUCAUCGAGUGUCUGGCAGUGACGCUGACAGUAAUCACCUCUGCGGGAGGUGACUAAAACCAAAGAGAAGAAAAGACGACGAAUGUGCAAAUGACAGGGGCAGAAACAGCUGUCCCGUUGGUAAUCUUCACUGUAGAGAUGCUUUUGGAGA
rnacentral:lncRNA from 1 species